CAGCACCUCAAGUGGUCAGGAUGAUUAUUGGGCCUAAAGCAUCCGUAGCCGGCGCUGUAAGUUUUCGGUUAAAUCUGUACGCUCAACGUACAGGCUGCCGGGAAUACUGCAGCGCUAGGGAGUGGGAGAGGUAGACGGUACUCGGUAGGAAGGGGUAAAAUCCUUUGAUCUAUUGAUGACCACCUGUGGCGAAGGCGGUCUACCAGAACACGUCCGACGGUGAGGGAUGAAAGCUGGGGGCGCAAAACGGAUUAGAUACCCGAGUAGUCC
rnacentral:rRNA from 1 species